rnacentral:rRNA from 1 species
GUCUACGGCCACACCACCCUGAACGCGCCCGAUCUCGUCUGAUCUCAGAAGCUAAGCAGGGUCGGGCCUGGUUAGUACUUGGAUGGGAGUCUAAGACUUAGUUAUGAAUUGUGCUGCUACAGGGU